rnacentral:rRNA from 1 species
GAUUAAGUUAUUAAGGGCGCACGGUGGAUGCCUUGGCACUAGAAGCCGAUGAAGGACGUUACUAACGACGAUAUGCUUUGGGGAGCUGUAAGUAAGCUUUGAUCCAGAGAUUUCCGAAUGGGGAAACCCAGCAUGAGUUAUGUCAUGUUAUCGAUAUGUGAAUACAUAGCAUAUCAGAAGGCACACCCGGAGAACUGAAACAUCUUAGUACCCGGAGGAAGAGAAAGAAAAUUCGAUUCCCUUAGUAGCGGCGAGCGAAACGGGAAGAGCCCAAACCAACAAGCUUGCUUGUUGGGGUUGUAGGACACUCUAUACGGAGUUACAAAGGACGACAUUAGACGAAUCAUCUGGAAAGAUGAAUCAAAGAAGGUAAUAAUCCUGUAGUCGAAAAUGUUGUCUCUCUUGAGUGGAUCCUGAGUACGACGGAGCACGUGAAAUUCCGUCGGAAUCUGGGAGGACCAUCUCCUAAGGCUAAAUACUCUCUAGUGACCGAUAGUGAACCAGUACCGUGAGGGAAAGGUGAAAAGCACCCCGGAAGGGGAGUGAAAUAGAACCUGAAACCGUGUGCUUACAAGUAGUCAGAGCCCGUUAAUGGGUGAUGGCGUGCCUUUUGUAGAAUGAACCGGCGAGUUACGAUUUGAUGCAAGGUUAAGCAGUAAAUGUGGAGCCGUAGCGAAAGCGAGUCUGAAUAGGGCGUUUAGUAUUUGGUCGUAGACCCGAAACCAGGUGAUCUACCCUUGGUCAGGUUGAAGUUCAGGUAACACUGAAUGGAGGACCGAACCGACUUACGUUGAAAAGUGAGCGGAUGAACUGAGGGUAGCGGAGAAAUUCCAAUCGAACCUGGAGAUAGCUGGUUCUCUCCGAAAUAGCUUUAGGGCUAGCCUCAAGUGAUGAUUAUUGGAGGUAGAGCACUGUUUGGACGAGGGGCCCCUCUCGGGUUACCGAAUUCAGACAAACUCCGAAUGCCAAUUAAUUUAACUUGGGAGUCAGAACAUGGGUGAUAAGGUCCGUGUUCGAAAGGGAAACAGCCCAGACCACCAGCUAAGGUCCCAAAAUAUAUGUUAAGUGGAAAAGGAUGUGGCGUUGCCCAGACAACUAGGAUGUUGGCUUAGAAGCAGCCAUCAUUUAAAGAGUGCGUAAUAGCUCACUAGUCGAGUGACACUGCGCCGAAAAUGUACCGGGGCUAAACAUAUUACCGAAGCUGUGGAUUGUCCUUUGGACAAUGGUAGGAGAGCGUUCUAAGGGCGUUGAAGCAUGAUCGUAAGGACAUGUGGAGCGCUUAGAAGUGAGAAUGCCGGUGUGAGUAGCGAAAGACGGGUGAGAAUCCCGUCCACCGAUUGACUAAGGUUUCCAGAGGAAGGCUCGUCCGCUCUGGGUUAGUCGGGUCCUAAGCUGAGGCCGACAGGCGUAGGCGAUGGAUAACAGGUUGAUAUUCCUGUACCACCUAUAAUCGUUUUAAUCGAUGGGGGGACGCAGUAGGAUAGGCGAAGCGUGCGAUUGGAUUGCACGUCUAAGCAGUAAGGCUGAGUAUUAGGCAAAUCCGGUACUCGUUAAGGCUGAGCUGUGAUGGGGAGAAGACAUUGUGUCUUCGAGUCGUUGAUUUCACACUGCCGAGAAAAGCCUCUAGAUAGAAAAUAGGUGCCCGUACCGCAAACCGACACAGGUAGUCAAGAUGAGAAUUCUAAGGUGAGCGAGCGAACUCUCGUUAAGGAACUCGGCAAAAUGACCCC